UACGUAGGGGGCAAGCGUUGUCCGGAUUUAUUGGGCGUAAAGAGCGUGUAGGCGGCCAGAUAGGUCCGUUGUGAAAACUCGAGGCUCAACCUCGAGACGCCGAUGGAAACCAUUUGGCUAGAGUCCGGAAGAGGAGAGUGGAAUUCCUGGUGUAGCGGUGAAAUGCGCAGAUAUCUGGAGGAACACCGGUGGCGAAGGCGGCAUCCUGGACCAUUACUGACACUGAAAAGCGAAAGCCAGGGGAGCAAACGGG
rnacentral:rRNA from 1 species